CUGAGGGUUGUUUCUCUCCGAUAAAAUAAUGGAUUUUUGGGCAAAAUUUUGCUUAAAAUUUUGAGUCCAAUUUUGAGUCCAAUUUUGAGUCCAAUUUUGGGUCCAAUUUUGGGUCCAGUCCAUGGGUCCAGUCCAUGUUUUGUACUAUGCCUGUGUAGACGGCAAACCUCAAAUCGCAUUUCGUGGUCAACUGUUAGCUGUUUGAAGUCAGGGCAAUUUGGGCAUCAAAUUUGGAGCAUGGAUUAGCUACUUGACUGUUGAAAACUUGUAUAACUUACCUUCAAACCUUCAAAUGCGAUUUGAAGUUUGUCAUAUAUGCGGUUUAUAGCGGUGUGUCGUAAACGUCAAUCCUAUAUAAGGUCUCUGUUUUUGUUUUAUUUCACCUGGAACAUGGGAUACAUACAAAUCUUAGUUACUCCACUGGCUGGAACAAAUGCUUUUCAACGUUCGUGAGUUAUGUUAAUAUGAUACUUCAACAUAGCCAUCACGGAGUAAAAACAAUCAAAUUACACGGAGUAUAAGGCAAGACCUUUCAACGUCGAAUUUCCGUCGAAUUUUACUAAUUUAAUUUAACUGCAUCAAAAAGCGUAUACAGACAACUUUUAUGAUAUAAUGAGCAAUAUAUAAUGUCAGUAAUUGAUAAAAGGAGUAUUAAUAGUACGAAUAGUCGGCGAAUAGUCGAUAAAUAAAUUACUAUCCAUGUGAAUUUUUAUAUAAUCAUUAGGGAGUUAAGCUUCACGUUUCCGGAAACGGCAAACGGCAGAUAGGAAAUUUCUUAGCAAAAUUUUCGUUGAACGUUUUCGUUUCAUAUUUUCUCUCUUGCGUCGAAAGAAUAAUUAUGUAUUUCAGUUUUAAAACAGCAAGCUAAUUUACUCUUUAUUGCCUGAUAUCGUAAAAUUUUUCUUUGCCUGGAGUUUGCCGUUUGACGUAUAACGCGAAGCUUAAACUCUCUAAUUUUCUUUACUUCACCAGAAAGAUCCACUGAGAAGGCCUAGUGCAGUGGAAAUAUGGAAUAGUGGUGCAGUAACAAAGAAUAUGAAGAUGGAUGUAGAUUUAAGCGAUGCAAAAGAUCGUCUAUCGUCUCAGUAAUUCAAAAUUCUGAACUUCUAAUCUAUGUACAUUUCACUUCAAUAAGUAGUUUAAGGAAUCAAUAUAUCAUACUUCCUUAUUUGUCAUUUCAGACAUGUAACGUUAAUAUAUAUAAUGGACACUUAGUUUAUUAUUAUUUACAUGCAGGGCUUCCAUUGCUAUACCAGUGUUUCUACACUGAAUUACCCUGUAUAAAUAAAAUUAUUGUAUUCUUGUUGCAUGCAUAUUGGCGUCAUGUACGGUCAAAUUUAAUGAUCCAUUGUUUUUACGCACUUUUGAGGAACAUUUGAAAAAGGUAAAUUUAGGAUCCCGGGCAUGGCCGGAUUUUGAGGAGAGGUGUGGGGCCUCCUCUGAGAAUUUUUGCACCUCUCCUGAAAAGUCAUACACCUCCCCUUGGGAAAGUUUCAAUGAUAGAUCAAAGUGAAAAUUUGACUUAGGGUCUACACUUCGUAAGAACGUUUUCCUGUAAAAUUGAGACAGUGAUAGCCAUUCAUCUCUGUGUAAUAUAAUGAAGGGCACAAUUGAAUGAGUUAUAUACAGUCAUAAUUCAUAUCAACACUGAUACAUAUGCAUGUGUGCACUACAUGCAUACGUCACGUCGUUGACUUUGGCCCGUUCUAAGCCCUGACUUUCCAUGGGGGUCGAGAGCUAAACCACUGCACCACCCCACCUUCCCCCCCCCUAACAUUUUUGCCACCUCCCCCACUAUUUCCAUCAAAAUCCGGCCUAUCCUUAUUUGUAAUUUCCUUUGACACCAUGUUUACUCAUUUACUUUAAUAAAUCAUUUGUAACUUGCACAGCUGCACUUGGAAUGGAAAAAAAAAAUAAACCUAAAGCGGG
rnacentral:lncRNA from 1 species